rnacentral:rRNA from 1 species
GAUGAACGCUGACAGAAUGCUUAACACAUGCAAGUCUACUUGAACUUCGGUUUGGGUGGCGGCCGGGUGAGUAACGCGUAAAGAACUUGCCUCACAGAUAGGGACAACAUUUGGAAACGAAUGCUAAUACCUGAUAUUAUGAUUUUAAGGCAUCCUAGAAUUAUGAAAGCUAUAUGCACUGUGAGAGAGCUUUGCGUCCCAUUAGCUAGUUGGAGAGGUAACGGCUCACCAAGGCGAUGAUGGGUAGCCGGCCUGAGAGGGUGAUCGGCCACAAGGGGACUGAGACACGGCCCUUACUCCUACGGGAGGCAGCAGUGGGGAAUAUUGGACAAUGGACCAAGAGUCUGAUCCAGCAAUUCUGUGUGCACGAUGAAGUUUUUCGGAAUGUAAAGUGCUUUCAGUUGGGAAGAAAAAAAUGACGGUACCAACAGAAGAAGUGACGGCUAAAUACGUG